UUCUGUCUUUUCGGAACUUAA
rnacentral:piRNA from 1 species